GUCAGUUUGUCCGAGUGGUUAAGGAGAAAGACUUGAAAUCUUUUGGCCUCUGGCCGCACAGGUUCGAAUCCUGUAGCUGACG
rfam:Pichia kudriavzevii strain SD108 scaffold00086, whole genome shotgun sequence.